rnacentral:lncRNA from 1 species
CAUAAUAUGAAGGUAGAAUUUUUACAUUAGAAAAUACCUCCAGCAGAAGUUCAAGUAAGAAGGUGAAGGCUUUAUCACUCCAUCCAUGGUGACACUUGAGAUUCAAUAAUCUAACCAUGAAUGCUAACAUUAAAAAUUUAGAACUUGGAUGUAUUGGCUGCUAAUAUUCCUCUAUUAAUUUGUAAUACUUCUUAGCUUCUAUAUUUGGUUCCUCAAGAUCAUCCCUAUU